rnacentral:rRNA from 1 species
GAUGAACGCUAGCUACAGGCCUAACACAUGCAAGUCGAGGGACCGGCGCACGGGUGAGUAACACGUAUCCAACCUGCCCUUUAAUCGGUGAUAGCCUUUCGCAAGAAAGAUUAAUACCCGAUGUCAAGGAUGGGGAUGCGGUCGAUUAGUUUGUUGGUGAGGUAACGGCUCACCAAGCCUUCGAUGGAUAGGGGUUCGGAUAGGAAGGUCCCCCACAGUUUAACUGUGACACGGUCCAAACUCGUACGGGAGGCAGGAGUGAGGAGUAUUGGUCGAUGGGCGUGAGCCUGAACCUGCCAAGUAGCGUGAAGGAUGAAGGGUUAUGGGUCGUAAACUGCUUUUAUAUAAGGAGAUGUAUUAUAUGAAUAAGGAUCGGCUAACUCCGUGCCAGCAGCCGCGGUAAUAC